ensembl:lncRNA
GGUUAAGGCAGCAGGGUGAGAAUCGGUCUGUGUCACAGGUGCAUUUCCCUCAAGUGUCUGUGGUUUCACACACGAGUCACACAGCUGUGCGUGUUUGCAUUCGCUCUGUAACGAAGGCACGACAGCUGCCGGAGUUUCAGCAGGAAGAGCGCGACAACGGUGACCAAAGGGUUUCUGGAGAUGGUUGGGGGGGAUAUUGGAAAAAUCUGAUUCUCAAAGAGGAAGACGCAUCCAAAUCCAACGUCGGAAAAC